AAAGAAGGAAGAGAAGAAAGAAGAGAAGAAAGAAGAAAAGAAAGAGGAAAAGAAGUGACCCAUUUUUCACUUGCUAUAAAUUAUUCAAGUUUUUAAGAGAACUUUGUCCAUUAAAGAUCCCUUUCUUUAUUUUCACAUGGUUUUCAGGAAUCUAUGGGUACAAAUAUAUUUCAGCAAAUAGUACAAGGAGUGUUAGUUUAAGGUGAGCCUGCUUUCCUGCAUGUUUUCACAUGGUAGUAGUGCUAGCUCUCAUGGGUUUUUGUCCAU
rnacentral:misc_RNA from 1 species